UACAGAGAUUACCUCUUUAAUCCUCACAACGACCCUACGGUUAUAAUUAUCUCCAUUUUACAGAUGAGGAAACAGACUGAAGAGAGACUGUGAUGUGUUGUGAGUCACACAGCUAGUUGGUGACAGAGCCCCAAGUGGUGCCCCGGCAGCCAGUGUGAGUGCAGUCUCCACCUACCACUGCACUGUGCCCGCUGCCCCCCGGGGAGCGUGGGAGGAUGGGACAGGCCCUGUAAAGGUCGAGUUGAUAAGACUUUACAACUCAUUGAAUGUGGGAGCAGAGGGAGAAAGAGCAGUUCAGGUAUUGCUGUGAGUCAGCUGAUCCUGGGCCCCUUCUUUGGGACCUGAAUGCCCUGCGGGAUGAACUGGAGGUCAGGAGCAGAGAUGUCACUCAACCCUCCCGACAGAAAUCAGAGGUCCCUUGUGGAUGGUCUGUGUUCAAGCUCUCCCUCCCCCCCUGGUGCUGUGGGGGGUGUCAUCUCUCUCUCGAGAUAACCGGGCCACCUCAGUCCUCCUCCUGGGGCUAUUCUUGGCUGCUCUUUGAUCCUCCUCUCUCCCCCAACCCCUACUUCAGCCCUUCUGCAGGGCGUAGCUGAGUGGGGAAGGCCAGCCCAGUUACGUAACCCUGUGGCUGGGACCCGGGAGGCCAGCCUGGGAGCAGGUGCUCAGCCCCUCCCUCAUCACCAGCAGUGAAAAUCUAGAGCUGGAGCUCAGCCUCUGGGAAGGCCCAGCAUGGAGGCAGCCACAGCUCCGGAGGUGGCCGUAGGAUCCAAGCUGAAGGUGAAAGAAGUCAGCCCAGCGGAUGCUGAACCACCCCAGGCUUCACCUGGACAGGGGGCUGGCAGCCCCACUCCCCAGCUCCUGCCCCCUAUAGAAGAGCACCCCAAGAUCUGGCUACCUCGGGCCCUGAGGCAGACCUACAUCCGGAAGGUUGGGGACACAGUGAACCUACUAAUCCCAUUCCAGGGCAAGCCCAAACCUCAAGCCAUCUGGACACACGAUGGCUGUGCCUUGGACACCAGCCGUGUGAGUGUGCGGAACGGGGAGCGAGACUCCAUCCUCUUCAUCCGAGAAGCCCAACGUGCUGACUCAGGUCGCUACCAACUCCGUGUGCAGCUGGGCAGCCUGGAGGCCACUGCCACCAUUGACAUCCUGGUGAUUGAGAGGCCAGGCCCUCCUCAGAGUAUUAAGCUGGUGGACGUUUGGGGCUUCAAUGCGACCCUGGAAUGGACACCUCCCCAAGAUACGGGGAAUACAGCACUCCUGGGAUACACGGUGCAGAAGGCUGACACAAAAUCUGGGCUGUGGUUCACAGUGCUGGAGCACUAUCACCGCACCAGCUGCAUCGUCUCCGACCUCAUCAUCGGCAACUCCUAUGCCUUCCGUGUCUUUGCUGAAAACCAAUGCGGACUCAGUGAAACAGCCCCCAUCACCACGGACCUCGCCCACAUCCAGAAAGCAGCUACUGUUUACAAGAUCAAGGGGUUUGCCCAACGAGAUUUCUCUGAAGCCCCAAAGUUUACCCAGCCUCUGGCCGACUGCACCACAGUCACCGGCUAUAACACCCAGCUCUUCUGCUGUGUCCGUGCCUCUCCCCGGCCCAAGAUCAUCUGGCUGAAGAACAAGAUGGAUAUCCAAGGCAACCCUAAAUACAGAGCCCUGACUCACCUGGGAAUCUGCUCCCUAGAGAUCCGCAAGCCUGGUCCCUUUGAUGGAGGCAUCUAUACCUGCAAGGCAGUGAACCCCCUAGGGGAGGCAUCUGUGGACUGUCGGGUGGAUGUGAAAGGUAAGGGCAAGAGGAGAACUAGUGCCUUAGGUUGCCAGUCACCUCCUCUCUCCACUGGUGGAAGAGUCAGGGGCCAGAGACGCAAGCCUAGGUGGAGAAGGGGCUCCUCAGUUGGACCCUCUCAUCACUGUCAUCAUCAGGAUGUCUUGGAGGAGACAUUUUAAUUAUCUACAAUCUCAUUUCUCUCCAUCGCAAUUCAAUAAUAUAGGAAGAAUUGUUAUUUCCAUUUUGCAAAAGAGAAGACGAAAGUACAGGGGGAGAACUGGUUUGCCCAUGAUUUCCAGUGUCAGUUAAUUGACCACCUGGCACUGGUGGAAAGAGCCCAGGUCUCCCUGUCCUCACUCAGCUCAUUUUUCUUUAUGCUGUGCAAUCUUCUGACUCAGCCUAGGAAAGCUGCAGCUGUUUGUCGGGCUUUAUUUCACUUUCCCCUCUUGUUUGUUUACAGGUAAUAUUGCAUAUCCUCUCUACUUCCUUAAAGUAUUUAAUCACUUAUCUAUACCUAUCACCUUGUUCAGAUCUCUAUCAUUGUGUUUAACAUACUGUUUUAUAAUUUUCUAUUUAUAGAUGUUUCCCUAUUAAAUUAUAAGCAUUUUGAGGGCAGGGACAGCAUCUUAUUUGCCUUUGUCCCCACAGUGUCUAGCCCAGUUUCUGACACACAGUAGGCACUCUAAAUGUUUGUUGCAUGAAUUGAGAAUGAAUAAGCCCUUACAUGUCCUGUUCUUCUCUAUGUAUAGACUACCUAAUUAGCACCAUUGACUCCCCAAAAACCUGAAAUAGAAUAUUUCUAUUUCUAAUGCUAAUGCUCUGAAAGAAGGUUUCUCAGAGAUUUCUGAGAGGUUAACACUGAUAAAUGUCCGAAUUAUUGCAGUUCCUAAUUGAGGACACCUAAGAAGAUGUGGUACUCUGACAAAGGUGUGUGGUCCCAAGCAGCACAUUAUUGGCAAAAGGCAACUCAGCUCAUCAUUUAGAACUUCACAGCUCCUUUAGAUUUUCCGUCAUUCACAGUAGCCAGUGCCCGGCAAUGAAGUGAAUUCAUGGCACAGGAGCCAAGGUAUGUGAGAAUGGUGCCCUCAGCAGCCUGGUGUCCUCUGGCCAUUUGCUGUCACGGCUACAAAGUGCUAUCUCUUUUCAGUGCCUCCAGGAAGCCCGCCAGUGGUGAGAUUGUGUCAAGGAGCUUCGGCACCAUGUCUGGUUUGGAUUCAUCUAAAUAAAUGUGUGGCUCCCCAGUGCCUAAAUGUUCCUGUAUUUGAGACUUUCUAUGAAACAUAUGGAAAGUUGCCAUCCUUUAGCCAUGCUGUAAGGAAUCACAGGGCCUUAAGACUCCCCUUUCUCUUCCCAUAUCCACAUUCUCUUCCACAGAGGUUUUUAACGCUGUUCUUUUCCCUAGACAUCUAUGACACAACUGAAUUCAACUCUCUACAGUACUAAGUGCUGGAAAGAGAUGCCGAAGAAGUCAGCUCCCAUGUAAAGGAUCUCAGGCUACAUUACUGAAUGAUGAGAAGCCACGUGGAGGACAACCAAGCAUCCCCACUGACAGCCAGCACCCUGGCCCCAGACGCAUGUGGCCACCUUGGACCCCAGAGCCCCAGUCGAGCACCUUGUAGAGACAAAUCACCCCUGGAGAGCCCUGCCCACAUUGUAAACUCAUGAGCAAAUAAAUAGUGGCUGUUGUUUCAAGCCACUAAAUUUUGAAGUGGUUUGCUAUAUAAUCAUAGAUUACUAAAACAGUCUUCUAUGCAACAGGCACUGAACUCAGUGCCUUAUCCCUUUUAAUCUUCAUUUUACAAAUGAGGAAGUUGAAGUUCACAAGUUGUCCCAAGUCAUGCAGCUGGUAAGCAGCAGAGCUAGGAUUUGAACCAGGUCUGUCUGACUCCAAGGCUUUCCUGUUUUCUCUCAUCCCUUUCAUCCGGCGAUCCCCACUGUAGAGGGUCUAGGUUGGAAUCAUGUGUUUAAGAAAGAAAAUAUUUCCAGGAGGCAAUACAUAUUAGGAAAGGUUUUGAGGAGGUUGGGGAAGCAAUUUGGUUGAGCAGAA